rnacentral:tRNA from 1 species
GCCCACGUAGCUCAGGGGAUAGAGCAUUCGCCUCCUAAGCGAAGGGUCGGACGUUCGAAUCGUCUCGUGGGUGCCA